GGGUUGUGAGGUUAAGCGACUAAGCGUACACGGUGGAUGCCCUGGCAGUCAGAGGCGAUGAAGGACGUGCUAAUCUGCGAAAAGCGUCGGUAAGGUGAUAUGAACCGUUAUAACCGGCGAUGUCCGAAUGGGGAAACCCAGUGUGAUUCGUCACACUAUCGUUAACUGAAUACAUAGGUUAACGAGGCGAACCGGGGGAACUGAAACAUCUAAGUACCCCGAGGAAAAGAAAUCAACCGAGAUUCCCCCAGUAGCGGCGAGCGAACGGGGAGCAGCCCAGAGUCUGAAUCAGCUUGUGUGUUAGUGGAACGGUCUGGAAAGUCCGACGGUACAGGGUGAUAGUCCCGUACACCAAAAUGCACAGGCUGUGAACUCGAAGAGUAGGGCGGGACACGUGGUAUCCUGUCUGAAUAUGGGGGGACCAUCCUCCAAGGCUAAAUACUCCUGACUGACCGAUAGUGAACCAGUACCGUGAGGGAAAGGCGAAAAGAACCCCGGCGAGGGGAGUGAAAAAGAACCUGAAACCGUGUACGUACAAGCAGUGGGAGCACCUUCGGGUGUGACUGCGUACCUUUUGUAUAAUGGGUCAGCGACUUAUAUUCUGUAGCAAGGUUAACCGUAUAGGGGAGCCGCAGGGAAACCGAGUCUUAACUGGGCGUUAAGUUGCAGGGUAUAGACCCGAAACCCGGUGAUCUAGCCAUGGGCAGGUUGAAGGUUGGGUAACACUAACUGGAGGACCGAACCGACUAAUGUUGAAAAAUUAGCGGAUGACUUGUGGCUGGGGGUGAAAGGCCAAUCAAACCGGGAGAUAGCUGGUUCUCCCCGAAAGCUAUUUAGGUAGCGCCUCGUGAACUCAUCUUCGGGGGUAGAGCACUGUUUCGGCUAGGGGGUCAUCCCGACUUACCAACCCGAUGCAAACUACGAAUACCGAAGAAUGUUAUCACGGGAGACACACGGCGGGUGCUAACGUCCGUCGUGAAGAGGGAAACAACCCAGACCGCCAGCUAAGGUCCCAAAGUCAUGGUUAAGUGGGAAACGAUGUGGGAAGGCACAGACAGCCAGGAUGUUGGCUUAGAAGCAGCCAUCAUUUAAAGAAAGCGUAAUAGCUCACUGGUCGAGUCGGCCUGCGCGGAAGAUGUAACGGGGCUAAACCAUGCACCGAAGCUGCGGCAGCGACACUAUGUGUUGUUGGGUAGGGGAGCGUUCUGUAAGCCUGCGAAGGUGUGCUGUGAGGCAUGCUGGAGGUAUCAGAAGUGCGAAUGCUGACAUAAGUAACGAUAAAGCGGGUGAAAAGCCCGCUCGCCGGAAGACCAAGGGUUCCUGUCCAACGUUAAUCGGGGCAGGGUGAGUCGACCCCUAAGGCGAGGCCGAAAGGCGUAGUCGAUGGGAAACAGGUUAAUAUUCCUGUACUUGGUGUUACUGCGAAGGGGGGACGGAGAAGGCUAUGUUAGCCGGGCGACGGUUGUCCCGGUUUAAGCAUGUAGGCUGGUUAUCCAGGCAAAUCCGGAUAAUCAAGGCUGAGGUGUGAUGACGAGGCACUACGGUGCUGAAGUAACAAAUGCCCUGCUUCCAGGAAAAGCCUCUAAGCAUCAGGUAACAUUAAAUCGUACCCCAAACCGACACAGGUGGUCAGGUAGAGAAUACCAAGGCGCUUGAGAGAACUCGGGUGAAGGAACUAGGCAAAAUGGUGCCGUAACUUCGGGAGAAGGCACGCUGGUGUGUAGGUGAAGUCCCUGCGGAUGGAGCUGAGACCAGUCGAAGAUACCAGCUGGCUGCAACUGUUUAUUAAAAACACAGCACUGUGCAAACACGAAAGUGGACGUAUACGGUGUGACGCCUGCCCGGUGCCGGAAGGUUAAUUGAUGGGGUUAUCCGUAAGGAGAAGCUCUUGAUCGAAGCCCCGGUAAACGGCGGCCGUAACUAUAACGGUCCUAAGGUAGCGAAAUUCCUUGUCGGGUAAGUUCCGACCUGCACGAAUGGCGUAAUGAUGGCCAGGCUGUCUCCACCCGAGACUCAGUGAAAUUGAACUCGCUGUGAAGAUGCAGUGUACCCGCGGCAAGACGGAAAGACCCCGUGAACCUUUACUAUAGCUUGACACUGAACAUUGAGCCUUGAUGUGUAGGAUAGGUGGGAGGCUUUGAAGCGUGGACGCCAGUCUGCGUGGAGCCAACCUUGAAAUACCACCCUUUAAUGUUUGAUGUUCUAACGUUGGCCCCUGACCGGGGUUGCGGACAGUGUCUGGUGGGUAGUUUGACUGGGGCGGUCUCCUCCCAAAGCGUAACGGAGGAGCACGAAGGUUAGCUAAUCCUGGUCGGACAUCAGGAGGUUAGUGCAAUGGCAUAAGCUAGCUUGACUGCGAGCGUGACGGCGCGAGCAGGUGCGAAAGCAGGUCAUAGUGAUCCGGUGGUUCUGAAUGGAAGGGCCAUCGCUCAACGGAUAAAAGGUACUCCGGGGAUAACAGGCUGAUACCGCCCAAGAGUUCAUAUCGACGGCGGUGUUUGGCACCUCGAUGUCGGCUCAUCACAUCCUGGGGCUGAAGUAGGUCCCAAGGGUAUGGCUGUUCGCCAUUUAAAGUGGUACGCGAGCUGGGUUUAGAACGUCGUGAGACAGUUCGGUCCCUAUCUGCCGUGGGCGCUGGAGAAUUGAGGGGGGCUGCUCCUAGUACGAGAGGACCGGAGUGGACGCAUCACUGGUGUUCGGGUUGUCAUGCCAAUGGCACUGCCCGGUAGCUAAAUGCGGAAGAGAUAAGUGCUGAAAGCAUCUAAGCACGAAACUUGCCCCGAGAUGAGUUCUCCCUGAGACUUUAAGUCUCCUGAAGGAACGUUAAAGACGAUGACGUUGAUAGGCCGGGUGUGUAAGCGCAGCGAUGCGUUGAGCUAACCGGUACUAAUGAACCGUGAGGCUUAACCUUACAACGCCGAAG
rnacentral:rRNA from 1 species